AUCUAAAACAACCCUAGGUCAGAUACUCAGAUCCAGCCUCCACUCUCACUCUAUCUCAGCUCCUCUCUCGCUCUACCUCCUCCCCUAAGACGACCACACUCUCCCUUCUCACUCCCCGCCCCCACCGCGAACCGCAACCACCACCUCCACCGCCACACCCGCCGCUAUUGCUUCGUCGUUCGUGUCGAUCCGGAGAUCUGAGAUGUAAACAAAUCACAACCUACGGCCGCACUCUCAGAUCUAGACUAACAACACAGCGACGACGAUCUGCCGACGACGACACACCACACCGCGAUUACCUCGACGCAACCACCGCCACCACCGCGUGAUUGACCUUAUGCGGAAGAGACGAAAGCGAUUCUUGGGGUUUUGGGGGCUUCCAGAUGCGCAAAGAGUAUUAGGAAUAACUGAAUAAGGGCUUGGGGUGGCUUGAAUUGGAUCGAUAUGGCUCAAAUUGUGCCAUCUUAAAUCUGCAUUUGGACAUGUCAUCUAAGAUUAUGUUUACAUGCAUGAAGCUGUUGCAGAGCUGCUAUCCACAACCUUUACAUGAACUUUCAUGGGGCAUACAAGCAACCUUUAAGAAUUGGAAGAUAUAUUAAUGUCUUUAUUUUUUUUUUAUGGCAUUAGCACAUCUAAUUUCACAAUAUGUCUUUGUUAAUGCUUGAUUGACAUGCAUGAGAUUCAGGUUUUUACUGAUUUAUGGGACUCAUCAUUAUUUUUUUUCUUAGUUGAUCUGGAUUAGCAAGGAAUAAAAUUGUCUUAUUCAUCAUUUUUAGCCACAUUACUAUUUUGCAGUAUGCAGAGCUUAAACCAGUACCGUGUGUGACCUACUCAGAUGCUCAAAUGUUAAGGGAAAAGUGUGAUACUCGAAUCCUUAAACAGUAUGGAGGAAAGAAGUUUCUAUCAGGAUUGAUCUAUAAACAACCAGUGCAAUCAUAGGGCUUGUAACAGGCUAACAACUAUUGCACAUAAAGGAACUUCAAAAUAUUGAGACACUAUGGGUGGAGGAAUUGCAUGGAGGAGUGCUCCCGUUUUGCAAAUGAUCCGCGAAGAGAUUUUGAGAAUGCUGAGGCUGAUGAUUUGGGUCUUGCUAAUUGGUUUGAUCAGUUCAAAGAAAUCCAGAUUUCAAGUGAUGAAGCCAUAGAAACUACAAAGUUGCUUGCCAGGAAAGAAGGGUUACACUAGUACUUCCUUUCAUUCUAUUGCUUUCUUCCAUUACAGCCACCCCCGACGCUCCUGAACGCUUCGUCAGUUUGGUUCCUGCCCCCUAUUCGCUAACAGUUGAGCUUCGUCUCCACCGUCACUGCCCCUACCACAGAACAGCUACCGCCCAGCCACCACUGCAGGGAUGGGAAGAAGGAGAAGGGCUAGGAAAAUACAAGCAAUGUAUCAAAGGAUAUGUCAGAUUCAAAAACAAACAAGAUACUGCAGGAAGGUGGAGCAUGUACUCAUGAAUAUGAAACGUUUGUGGAAGAGCGAGGUGCUGCUAGAGCUGGAAUGGUUGGAGAUGCACCAGACACAUCUCCUGACAUGCCACGAAUUGCUGAAUCAGGCUCUGCUAAAGCUGCUAUAGAAUCGUCAGCCAACCCUUCAACAUCAGACCAAGAAGAACCACCAAGUGAUGAUGAUGUCCCUUAUUUUUCUGAUAUAGAAGCUAUGGUAAUUCUUGAAUUUUUUUCUAUUAGUCUUUGAUGAUAGUAGUGUUGUGCAUGUUUUAAUGAUAUUAUUAUACUAAAGUGUGAUCGAGGAUAUAAAGUAGUAUUGUGUUCAAGUGCAUUUUGUUAAAGUAUUGAUGAUUGUUUUGUGUUUCUAUGAUAUUAAAGUG